CGCAGUUCAAAGUAGCCUAGUACUACAGCUACGGUGGCCUUCACGCUUCAAAAAGCCGGUCUCUUGCUCUUUUCAAUCUCCUUUUUCUGUUUCUUGAAAUUUGGAUUUCU